AUAUUGCACAAUGGGCGCAAGCCUGAUGCAGCAACGCCGCGUGCGGGAUGACGGCCUUCGGGUUGUAAACCGCUUUUAGUAAGGAAGAAGGGCAGUCUUCGGGCUGUUUGACGGUACUUGCAGAAAAAGGACCGGCUAACUACGUGCCAGCAGCCGCGGUAAUACGUAGGGUCCGAGCGUUGUCCGGAAUUAUUGGGCGUAAAGAGCUCGUAGGCGGUUUGUCGCGUCUGCUGUGAAAUCCCGAGGCUCAACCUCGGGUCUGCAGUGGGUACGGGCAGACUGGAGUGCGGUAGGGGAGAAUGGAAUUCCUGGUGUAGCGGUGGAAUGCGCAGAUAUCAGGAGGAACACCGAUGGCGAAGGCAGUUCUCUGGGCCGUAACUGACGCUGAGGAGCGAAAGCGUGGGGAGCGAACAGG
rnacentral:rRNA from 1 species